AUUGAACGCUGGCGGCAUGCCUUACACAUGCAAGUCGAACGGCAGCACGGGAGCAAUCCUGGUGGCGAGUGGCGAACGGGUGAGUAAUAUAUCGGAACGUGCCCAGUCGUGGGGAUAACGUAGCGAAAGCUACGCUAAUACCGCAUACGAUCUAUGGAUGAAAGCGGGGGAUCGCAAGACCUCGCGCGAUUGGAGCGGCCGAUAUCAGAUUAGGUAGUUGGUGAGGUAAAGGCUCACCAAGCCGACGAUCUGUAGCUGGUCUGAGAGGACGACCAGCCACACUGGGACUGAGACACGGCCCAGACUCCUACGGGAGGCAGCAGUGGGGAAUUUUUGGACAAUGGGCGCAAGCCUGAUCCAGCAAUGCCGCGUGCAGGAUGAAGGCCUUCGGUUGUAACUGUCUUUGUACGGUAACGAAACGGUAGGAGACGUCUAAUAC
rnacentral:rRNA from 1 species